rnacentral:rRNA from 1 species
CAGUAGCCGCGGUAAUCCGUAGGUGGCAUGCGUUGUCCGGAAUUAUUGGGCGUAAAGGGCUCGCAGGCGGUUUCUUAAGUCUGAUGUGAGAGCCCCCGGCUCAACCGGGGAGGGUCAUUGGAAACUGGGAAACUUGAGUGCAGAAGAGGAGAGUGGAAUUCCACGUGUAGCGGUGAAAUGCGUAGAGAUGUGGAGGAACACCAGUGGCGAAGGCGACUCUCUGGUCUGUAACUGACGCUGAGGAGCGAAAGCGUGGGGAGCGAACAGGAUUAGAUACCCCAGUAGUCCCUGUCUCUUAUAC